rnacentral:rRNA from 1 species
CCUACGGGAGGCAGCAGUGAGGAAUAUUGGUCAAUGGACGUGAGUCUGACCCAGCCAAGUCGCGUGAUGGAUGACUGCCCUAUGGGUUGUAAACUUCUUUUAUCUGGGAAUAAAAUGUUCCACGUGUGGGAUUAUGUAUGUACCAUAUAAAUAAGGAUUGGCUAACUCCGGGCCAGCAGCCGCGGUAAUACGGAGGAUCCGAGCGUUAUCCGGAUUUGUUGGGUUUAAAGGGAGCGUAGGUGGAUUGUUAAGUCAGUUGUGAAAGUUUGCGGCUCAACCCUAAAAUUGCAGUUGAAACUGGCAGUCUUGAGUACAGGAGAGGUAGGCGGAAUUCGGGGUGUAGCGGUGAAAUGCUUAGAUAUCACGAAGAACUCCGAUUGCGAAGGCAGCUCACUGGACUGCAACUGACACUGAGGCUCGAAAGUGUGGGUAUCAAACAGGAUUAGAUACCCUAGUAGUC